rnacentral:rRNA from 1 species
CAGUCGAGCGGACAGAUGGGAGCUUGCUCCCUGAUGUUAGCGGCGGACGGGUGAGUAACACGUGGGUAACCUGCCUGUAAGACUGGGAUAACUCCGGGAAACCGGGGCUAAUACCGGAUGCUUGUUUGAACCGCAUGGUUCAAACAUAAAAGGUGGCUUCGGCUACCACUUACAGAUGGACCCGCGGCGCAUUAGCUAGUUGGUGAGGUAAUGGCUCACCAAGGCAACGAUGCGUAGCCGACCUGAGAGGGUGAUCGGCCACACUGGGACUGAGACACGGCCCAGACUCCUACGGGAGGCAGCAGUAGGGAAUCUUCCGCAAUGGACGAAAGUCUGACGGAGCAACGCCGCGUGAGUGAUGAAGGUUUUCGGAUCGUAAAGCUCUGUUGUUAGGGAAGAACAAGUACCGUUCGAAUAGGGCGGUACCUUGACGGUACCUAACCAGAAAGCCACGGCUAACUACGUGCCAGCAGCCGCGGUAAUACGUAGGUGGCAAGCGUUGUCCGGAAUUAUUGGGCGUAAAGGGCUCGCAGGCGGUUUCUUAAGUCUGAUGUGAAAGCCCCCGGCUCAACCGGGGAGGGUCAUUGGAAACUGGGGAACUUGAGUGCAGAAGAGGAGAGUGGAAUUCCACGUGUAGCGGUGAAAUGCGUAGAGAUGUGGAGGAACACCAGUGGCGAAGGCGACUCUCUGGUCUGUAACUGACGCUGAGGAGCGAAAGCGUGGGGAGCGAACAGGAUUAGAUACCCUGGUAGUCCACGCCGUAAACGAUGAGUGCUAAGUGUUAGGGGUUUCCGCCCCUUAGUGCUGCAGCUAACGCAUUAAGCACUCCGCCUGGGGAGUACGGUCGCAAGACUGAAACUCAAAGGAAUUGACGGGGCCCGCACAAGCGGUGGAAGCAUG